rnacentral:rRNA from 1 species
GAUGAACGCUGGCGGCGUGCUUAACACAUGCAAGUCGAACGAUGAAGCUCAGCUUGCUGGGUGGUUUAGUGGCGAACGGGUGAGUAACACGUGAGUAACCUGCCCUUAACUCUGGGAUAAGCCUGGGAAACUAGGUCUAAUACCGGAUAGGAGCGCCUACCGCAUGGUGGGUGUUGGAGAGAUUUAUCGGUUUUGGAUGGACUCGCGGCCUAUCAGCUUGUUGGUGAGGUAAUGGCUCACCAAGGCGACGACGGGUAGCCGGCCUGAGAGGGUGACCGGCCACACUGGGACUGAGACACGGCCCAGACUCCUACGGGAGGCAGCAGUGGGGAAUACUGCACAAUGGGCGAAAGCCUGAUGCAGCGACGCCGCGUGAGGGAUGACGGCCUUCGGGUUGUAAACCUCUUUCAGUAGGGAAGAAGCGAAAGUGACGGUACCUGCAGAAGAAGCACCGGCUAACUACGUG